GUUGUUGGGUAGGGGAGCGUUCUGUAAGCCUGCGAAGGUGUACUGUGAGGUAUGCUGGAGGUAUCAGAAGUGCGAAUGCUGACAUAAGUAACGAUAAAGCGGGUGAAAAGCCCGCUCGCCGGAAGACCAAGGGUUCCUGUCCAACGUUAAUCGGGGCAGGGUGAGUCGACCCCUAAGGCGAGGCCGAAAGGCGUAGUCGAUGGGAAACAGGUUAAUAUUCCUGUACUUGGUGUUACUGCGAAGGGGGGACGGAGAAGGCUAUGUUGGCCGGGCGACGGUUGUCCCGGUUUAAGCGUGUAGGCUGGUUUUCCAGGCAAAUCCGGAAAAUCAAGGCUGAGGCGUGAUGACGAGGCACUACGGUGCUGAAGCAACAAAUGCCCUGCUUCCAGGAAAAGCCUCUAAGCAUCAGGUAACAUCAAAUCGUACCCCAAACCGACACAGGUGGUCAGGUAGAGAAUACCAAGGCGCUUGAGAGAACUCGGGUGAAGGAACUAGGCAAAAUGGUGCCGUAACUUCGGGAGAAGGCACGCUGAUAUGUAGGUGAAGUCCCUCGCGGAUGGAGCUGAAAUCAGUCGAAGAUACCAGCUGGCUGCAACUGUUUAUUAAAAACACAGCACUGUGCAAACACGAAAGUGGACGUAUACGGUGUGACGCCUGCCCGGUGCCGGAAGGUUAAUUGAUGGGGUUAGCGCAAGCGAAGCUCUUGAUCGAAGCCCCGGUAAACGGCGGCCGUAACUAUAACGGUCCUAAGGUAGCGAAAUUCCUUGUCGGGUAAGUUCCGACCUGCACGAAUGGCGUAAUGAUGGCCAGGCUGUCUCCACCCGAGACUCAGUGAAAUUGAACUCGCUGUGAAGAUGCAGUGUACCCGCGGCAAGACGGAAAGACCCCGUGAACCUUUACUAUAGCUUGACACUGAACAUUGAGCCUUGAUGUGUAGGAUAGGUGGGAGGCUUUGAAGUGUGGACGCCAGUCUGCAUGGAGCCGACCUUGAAAUACCACCCUUUAAUGUUUGAUGUUCUAACGUUGGCCCCUGAUCGGGGUUGCGGACAGUGUCUGGUGGGUAGUUUGACUGGGGCGGUCUCCUCCUAAAGAGUAACGGAGGAGCACGAAGGUUGGCUAAUCCUGGUCGGACAUCAGGAGGUUAGUGCAAUGGCAUAAGCCAGC
rnacentral:rRNA from 1 species